rnacentral:lncRNA from 1 species
CAUGUUCCCAUCUCCUUGUGCUGUGUCACGUUUUCCUCCUCAGCGCUCCCUGAUGUGCUACAAAUCCAUCCUGGUGAUGAGGUCCAUCCCAGAAAUCCUCGAAAGGACCCACGACAACAGCUCCCUGGCAAUCUCCCGGCACCUCAUUGAGGAAAGCACGUCAUCCAGCACCAGUGGCUCCUCUUCGGACAACGAGAACUCCAAUUUCCCCAAAAAGAGGCACUUUGGCUCCACCCCCGAACUGCACUUGCCUGUAUUUGAUGCCCCGAGCCAUCCCGAGCCUCUGAAACGUGCAAGUGAACGGGAGCGCUCCAAAAGCUCCAUCCCUCCAGUAAAACCCAUGAGGAGGAAAUAUGCUUCGAUGAAGGCUGAGGUGGGGGACAAAUCACCCACAGAAAGCAAAGAGCUCAUGGCGAGUAUCUUACAGGAGAAAGAGGAGAGGCUCCUUCCCAGCCUUUGGGGAGAGCCAUCCCAAAAAAGUGGUGCUGCUGAGCCUUCAUCCCUGAGGGCUUCCACAGAAGGCACAUCACUUGUGCAUCAGAAAGAGAAACCAGACACACCUUCAUCUGAAAAGGACAGAGGUGAAGAGGCAGGGGAAGGGACAGAAAAGCCAUCUGCCUGUGUUCCCAGGCAGAGCGUCAUCAAAAGCACCUUCUACAGCCAAGCAACGGAGCUGCCUGCGAGGCCGCCUUCGUCACCAGGCAGGGAGCUCCGAAGGCACCUGGACAGAGCCAGAAGGACUUUCCGGAAGGCUGGGUAUUCAAAGGUGCCCCUCAGUGGCCUCCGUGAACCCCUUCUCGAGCAGUUUGAACUGGAAGAAGAAGAAGAAGAAGAAGGAGAUGAUCGCAAAGAAAGCCUGCUGGGAUCCUUGACCAAAUCCGCAUCGUUUGACACUGCCAGGAAGCCGCCACACCCUGCCAUUGCUGGUGCCAGCCGCAGCCGCUCCCUGGAUGACUACAGGCUGAGAGCCUCCAGAUCUUUGAGGGAACAAGAUAUUUUGGAGGAGGACUGUGAUGUGUUGUCCCAGGAAAGCUGCCCUGAAGGCAGCGAUCACUGCGACAUUUCUGCAGAGCCUGGCAAGGGAUGUUCUGCGGGCGCAGCAGAGCAAGAGGACAUCAGGAAAGCCAGCAAGGAGUGCCCAGGAGAGAAACCCUC